AUGCGGUCGACAGGUUCCCCGUGCGGGAGGAGUUUGCUGACAGUCUUGACAACCCAGAUCCAGUCCCACUCGCGUACCUUCUGGAGAAGGGGGGUUGCAAAUCCGGAGAUUGGUUGGGAAGAAGAUCAUUCUGGGAUGGCUGAAAUGGUGUGCGAAGGUGUGCUUACUGACGCUCAAGGUGGUGCGCAGCAUCGGCGUGAUGAAUCUCUGACGAGGUCUGGCCAAUCGACGGGCAGGGUUAAUCCAGAGGCCUCAGGCUGGACUAAAAGGCUUCAUCUUGGAAGUGCGCCACCUGACCAUGUGCCAUGUCCAUUAAAAAUGAGCGCUCUCGAGCUGUCGAUCAGGAAAUAUGCUGAGCAACCUGACAAGAGCGUGGUGCGACCUGAGCUAGGGCUUAGUUUCGAUUCGCUGGGAGAAGCGUAUGAUUUCUACAACUUAUAUUCAUGGGAAGUCGGUUUUGGGAUAAGAUAUGGGAAAAGCAGGCUGAACGCCAAGAGAACAAAAAGCAUGCAGGAGAUAGUAUGUGGUUGCUCGGCUGAACGCCAAGAGAACAAAAAGCAUGCAGGAGAUAAUAUGUGGUUGCUCGGGGAAACCGGAUGCCGAAAACAGUAG
rnacentral:rRNA from 1 species